GGUUGUGGCUCAGCGGUAGAGCGCUCGCCUAGCAUGUGCAAGGCCCUGGGUUGGAUCCUCAGCACCA
rnacentral:tRNA from 1 species